rnacentral:piRNA from 1 species
GAUGAAGGUGGACAGGCCUGGAUGGAAAAGU